UAAGGCUUUUGGGGCAGCCUGGGCUUCCUGGGAUGAAAAAGGAACUGGAGCAGCACUUGGUAGGUAAGGCACAAAUAACUACAAACAUUCAGCAGCAAAACAUCCAGCCCCUGACUGCAUGGACCCCAAUCCUUCUAUUUGGAGGUAACUGGACUCUAAAUAAUUGGUUUCCAAACCAGAAACUUUAAAAAGUCUUCAUAGUUCAGGAAAAAUCACUUUGGUUUGUGUUUUCCAGCUGCUGAAGACUACAUCUCUUAAGUAACACUCGUACCUGUUGUGUGAUAUAUCUGUAUUGUCCUGGAAGCAUCUCGCAGACCCAUGUAAAAAGGGAGAGAACACUAGUAAGAUAUAACAUUAGAGAACAAUCCUGCACUGGCAGAGAGCUUUCCAUCUCUUAAUACGUGCUUCCCCUCUCUGCUUUCCACAAUUGGAAGAUUCGUGGAGACCCGCUGUGGCAGAGACCCUCCGAAGCACUAACACACAAACACCUCCCAAGGAAGUAACAGAAGAAGAAAAUGUAUUACCACACCAUGCAGUCAAAGUAGGAGGAAUAAACGUCCUCCCAGAGCAGCCGACAACUAAGGCUGUCAUGUUUUUCCAAGCAGGACCACUCUGGGAAGCAGUACUUCUGCGAACGGAGCAGGCAGACAACACAGCUGCAUGCAGAUCUGGUAUUGCUGCUCUUGGAACAAGGUUAAGGAGCAGAACCGAAAAGACUGAAAUUCCGUUCAGGGGCGAAAACCUUCUACUUUCUGCUAGAGUGAUUUGACUCAUCAUCUAUUGGACCAAAUCUUCUGCUGGGGUAAAUAGUCAAUGUCUGUUCAACUUGUGCCGGGGUCAGAAGAGAGAGGGUCGUUGGAAGGUUCCUUUUUUCAUGCCAAGCAGUCUUUUGGGUUUGCACCGACACCUGCUUCCAUUCUGCCUCGUUGGACUGGCGUGUUGGAGAUGGGGUUUGGGUUUUUCCCAGAAUGAAAACUAGAACGUGGAGGAAGAGACACUAAAAAAGAGUAGUUACUGAAGAAGAUGAGCUUCUACAUAGAGUCAACCAGCCUGGUCUGGAACUGUCACGCAAGCAAGUUGUCUCCUUUGAGUAAAACUCAUUAAUGUCAAUGGGUCUGGUGGUGAGUAAGUAUUACUCAUGUGAGUAAGCGUUGGAUAAAUUGAUACAGACACUGUGCUACGGUUAUGGGCAUCUUAUAAAUGCAUGUAAUAAUAAGCCUCAAUCCUGCUGACUGCAGGCAGAUGGACCCCUUGUUCCCAUGUGGAGUCCCACAGAAGUCAGUAGGGCUCUGUAUAGGUGCAGGGCUCUGUCCAUGUGCAGUAAAUAGCAGGAUCAGGGCCAUAUGUGUGUAUAUAGAGAGAGUGAGAAGGUGGGUGAGGUAAUAGCUUUUAUGGGACCAAGUUCAGCUGGCAAAAGAGACAAGCUUUCAAGGCGACCCAGAACACUUCUUACACCGACUCGUACAUGUGGAGGCAAAGUGGCAUGCCCUUAUGUCAGAUAACACUGAUUCAAACAUAUUUCAGCUGCAAUCGAGCUGAUAAAUGUCACGACUCUUUAAAAGGUCUGGAGUGGCACAAUAUACAGCUGACAUACUUAGCUCUAAUUAUUCUAUAUUGUAUUAUAUAUUUUAUAUAUACACACACAGACAACGUGUAUAUAAAUCUCCCCACUGUAUUUUCCACCGAAUGCAUCCGAUGAAGUGAGCUGUAGCUUAU